AAUAUAGACAAGUAAGACAAAUAAUUGUGUAAAGUAAUAAUUAAAAUAACUCUAAAGAAACCAACAUAAUCAUGGUUCUCAUUAAUCGGCGAUGUUGUACAAUCCAUUGUCUUGUGAGCAGCGAAGAAUAAAAUGCACUAAACGUUUUAUGCAUCAAAGCAUGACAUGGGUCAACCUAUAUUUAAUUUAUGAAUUUAGAUUCGGCCAUAUGAAUUCUUCACUAUGGACAUCUACCAUCUCGGUUUAGUGCUAUGGAGUGUAUUUGAAAGUGUUCUCUGUACAGCUGCUAUAUUCGGUUGGGCUCAAUUAUUGGAAAUACUUGAAGGUGAACAAUAUUUCUCGUCUUAUUGCGGAGAUGAGGCUAAAUCAAACAAGACAAUAAUAACACAGUUAAAUACAAGUAACUACAUAAACGAGGCGGAUAGCAAUGAUAUAAACACAUGUUCCGUGCAAGAUAGUAUUCUUCGCUUGGCCUAUACAAUCUCCGUUUUCGCUGCUUUCGCUUCAGUAUUUCUCAGUGGAAAAUAUAUGGAUAUGUUUGGCUUCAGAAAGACAAGGAUAUUGGCAAG